rnacentral:rRNA from 1 species
CAGUAGCCGCGGUAAUACGUAGGUGGCAAGCGUUGUCCGGAAUUAUUGGGCGUGAAGGGCUCGCAGGCGGUUUCUUAAGUCUGAUGUGAAAGCCCACGGCUCAACCGGGGAGGGUCAUUGGAAACUGGGAAACUUGAGUGCAGAAGAGGAGAGUGGAAUUCCACGUGUAGCGGUGAAAUGCGUAGAGAUGUGGAGGAACACCAGUGGCGAAGGCGACUCUCUGGUCUGUAACUGACGCUGAGGAGCGAAAGCGUGGGGAGCGAACAGGAUUAGAUACCCCUGUAGUCCCUGUCUCUUAUAC